GCCGAAGUGGUGGAACUGGUAGACACGCUGUCUUGAGGGGGCAGUGGCCCACGGUCGUGCGAGUUCGAUUCUCGCCUUCGGCACCA
rnacentral:tRNA from 3 species